rnacentral:rRNA from 1 species
GAUGAACGCUAGCUACAGGCUUAGCACAUGCAAGUCGCAGGGUAACAUGAGGAAAGCUUGCUUUCCUUGAUGACGACUGGCGCACGGGUGAGUAACGCGUAUCCAACCUUCCCAUAACUACGGGAUAACCCGUUGAAAGACGGCCUAAUACCGUAUGAUAUCGUUUGCUGACAUCAAAUAACGAUUAAAGGUUUAGCGGUUAUGGAUGGGGAUGCGUCUGAUUAGCUUGUUGGCGGGGUAACGGCCCACCAAGGCUACGAUCAGUAGGGGUUCUGAGAGGAAGGUCCCCCACAUUGGAACUGAGACACGGUCCAAACUCCUACGGGAGGCAGCAGUGAGGAAUAUUGGUCAAUGGGCGAGAGCCUGAACCAGCCAAGUAGCGUGCAGGACGACGGCCCUAUGGGUUGUAAACUGCUUUUAUGUGGGGAUAAAGUGCGUGACAUGUCAUGCAUUGCAGGUACCACAUGAAUAAGGACCGGCUAANUCCGUGCCAGCACCCGCGGUAAUACGGAAGGUCCGGGCGUUAUCAGGAUUUAUUUGGGUUUUAAANGNAGCGUANGCUGUCUAAUAAANCNUGUUGUGNANNUUUANUC